AUUGAACGCUGGCGGCAGGCCUAACACAUGCAAGUCGAACGGAAGAACGGUGCUUUUUUCUGUAUUCAGCGCGGGACGCGUACGUAUUGCCUAUGAAUCUGCCUCUUCGUAUUUGUUGACGACCGCAAACGGGCGCUGAUACUACAUCCGCCCAGAGCCUGCGGGUGGGUGCUGUUCGGACCUCACCCUAUCACAUGAGUCUACGCCGGUCUAGCUAGUUGGUGGGGUAAGGGUCUACUAAGGCGACGAUCCGUAACUGGUCUGAGAGGAUGAUCAGCCACACUGGAAGUGAGACACGGCCCAGACUCCUACGGGAGGCAGCAGUGGGGAAUAUUGGACAAUGGGCGGAAGCCUGAUCCAGCCAUGCCGCGUGUGUGAAGAAGGCCUUCGGAUUGUAAAGCACUUUUAGUGGGGAGGAACAGCAGUCGGUUAAUACCCGGCUGUAGUGACGGUACCAACAGAAUAAGCACCGGCUAACUUCGUG
rnacentral:rRNA from 1 species